UACACUCCUGCGGGAGGCAGCAGUGGGGAAUAUUGCACAAUGGGCGCAAGCCUGAUGCAGCCAUGCCGCGUGUAUGAAGAAGGCCUUCGGGUUGUAAAGUACUUUCAGCGGGGAGGAAGGCGAUAAGGUUAAUAACCUUGUUGAUUGACGUUACCCGCAGAAGAAGCACCGGCUAACUCCGUGCCAGCAGCCGCGGUAAUACGGAGGGUGCAAGCGUUAAUCGGAAUUACUGGGCGUAAAGCGCACGCAGGCGGUCUGUCAAGUCGGAUGUGAAAUCCCCGGGCUCAACCUGGGAACUGCAUUCGAAACUGGCAGGCUAGAGUCUUGUAGAGGGGGGUAGAAUUCCAGGUGUAGCGGUGAAAUGCGUAGAGAUCUGGAGGAAUACCGGUGGCGAAGGCGGCCCCCUGGACAAAGACUGACGCUCAGGUGCGAAAGCGUGGGGAGCAAACAGGAUUAGAAACCCUUGUAGUCCCAUGA
rnacentral:rRNA from 1 species